rnacentral:misc_RNA from 1 species
GGCAAAGCGCGUAAACGCAUCGGCGACGGUGAGCAGGUCCGGUUCGGCAAACGGGUCAGCGACCUUUCCCCUGAACGAGAACGUUCCGAUCCCGGUGGUUUGAGCGGCAUGCGCGAUAACAACCACGGUGUCGGCCAUCACCGCCUCAUAGCCUUCAUUGGCGCGAUACCAUUCCAGCAUCGUGAACUCCGGCAGAUGCAGCGGGCCGCGCUCGCGAUCCCGAAAC